CCUACGGGAGGCAGCAGUGAGGAAUAUUGCGCAAUGGGCGAAAGCCUGACGCAGCGACGCCGCGUGGGUGAUGAAGGCCUUCGGGUCGUAAAGCCCUGUCGAGGGGGAAGAACCAGCCGUGGUCGAAUAGGCUACGGCCCUGACGGUACCCCUAAAGGAAGCACCGGCUAACUCCGUGCCAGCAGCCGCGGUAAUACGGAGGGUGCGAGCGUUGUUCGGAAUCACUGGGCGUAAAGCGCGUGUAGGCGGUCUGCUAAGUCUGAUGUGAAAGCCCGGGGCUCACCCUCGGAAGUGCAUUGGAAACUGGCAGACUGGAGUCCCGGAGAGGAGGGUGGAAUUCCUGGUGUAGCGGUGAAAUGCGUAGAUAUCAGGAGGAACACCGGUGGCGAAGGCGGCCCUCUGACGGUGACUGACGCUGAGACGCGAAAGCGUGGGGAGCAAACAGGAUUAGAUACCCUGGUAGUCCACGCUGUAAACGAUGAGCACUAGGUGUCGCGGGUAUUGACCCCUGCGGUGCCGCCGCUAACGCAUUAAGUGCUCCGCCUGGGGACUACGGCCGCAAGAUUAAAACUCAAAGGAAUUGACGG
rnacentral:rRNA from 1 species